GAAUACAAUUUACCUAUUUUACUAAUUACUAGAACGUUAUGUCACAGAUAAAGACGACGUCGUGGUCUAUUGUCUUGUAUAUCUAUGGUUAUGUUGUAAGAAAUUUGUAAAAAGAAGUCUUCAUUUUAAUGUGACUUUGAACUCCAAUUCCAGCUGUUUCAUGCUAAAUACUCCUCGAGGAUGCUAAAAAAUGGCUCUUAAUAUUUUUUUUAAACAUAAUAUCUUACAUGGAUAUUACUUGUUCAAAUUCAAAUGCUAUUUUUCUAAUAGCACUAGCUCUAUAUCCUAUUUGGAAAAAAUCAAGUUUAUUGUGUGCUGCUCAGCUGCUGUCAUUCAUUCAAGGUGGCCUUCUACUACCAGUACCAACCACAACAAAUCAAGUCGUACAUUAAAUUGGAAUCUUGGAGAUCGUUGAUGGCCUUCGAGUCCCAUUGCUUGCGGAGCCCGAAAAGAUACUUCGGCCAGAAGCCAUUUUCAGCCAUAAUGACAAAAUAAGUAAAAAAACCAGCCGAUGCUUGCAUCAUACCAAUCUGGCCGUAAGCCAUGGAAAUUAAUCUAAUUUGUCUGUCUGGGGGUUACGUGGACGUCUUUUCAUUAUGUCAGAUUCUGCUUUUUCGUAAGCCAGUGAGAUAGCUGGAACCUGUUUUUUUUUAAGUGAAUCAUUAGUUAACGC